UGGUGCUAUUACUUUGCGACCCUGAAUUCAAUGAAUUGCCGAUGUCCCUUUAUUGUUUCUGUUUCUUUGGUGGCCUUGCAUUUGGCAGCUGUCUGAGCCAGUUCUUUCUAUCUCUUAACUCUCAAGUCUUCUUCCUUCUUCUCCUCUCACUGUCUUUCUCUCUCCUCCCGUUUCUCCUCUCCCCGCUCUCACUAGCUAUCUCCUCCAUUGAAUCGACUAUGAUCUGCAUCGAUAAUUAGGAUUGGAUGCGUAAUGGAGAUUACUCGCCCACCAGAUUUCAAGCUCUUUUCGAUGCUGUUAACCUCAUCUGCGGCGCUAAAACUCAGUCUAAUCCGGAGAAUACUGUCGUAAUUCUGACUAUGGCUGGAAAAGGUGUUCGUGUUUUUGUCACUCCCACCAGUGAUCUUGGAAAGAUAUUGGCUUGUAUGCACGGUUAGUUUUCGAUCGAUCCUCUAAUGCCUUCCGUUUUCAGUAUUAAGUUAGUUCCUCGAUCCUCCAAUGCCUUCAAUUUUCAGUAUCCUUUAAUUCUUUGGCAGAAUGGGACUUCAGAAGAGGUGGUGAAGAUAGUAGAAACUCUCAAUGCAGGUGAAGGUCAUGAAAAGGGAGGAGUUAGAAAAACAGAGAGGGAUCAUGAAAGAUAAAUGAAGCUGCAAGAACAAGGGAAAGUUAAGCAAGCAAAGAAAGACUUAGGUCAGUUUUGGGAUUAUAUUCUCACUUUUGCUGUCAAAUACUUGUAUUGAUUGUAUGUUCUGUCUGCACUUCUUAAAGAAGCAGGAAAUAGAUAAUGUACCUAAAGUAGAUGAGGCUUGGAUGAGCUUUGAAUAACUUAAUGUAUGAGCUAUCGAAUUUGCUAUAGAAUACUUUAUAAUAAGCAAAUCAACCUCCAUACAUUUUAUAGGCGAUUUAAUUUUAAAUGCUUAGUUUGAAUAUUUGCAUACAUCCUACUAACUUGAUACAUAAGGCUUCAAAUCCCUUUUGCUUUGUGUUUGGGUUGAUGAAUUGGAAGGAAGAGCCUGGGAGAUAAUAAAGGCAAUAUAUAUGUAUUGCAUUCUCUCUUUUGAUUUUAAAAAAGGGGAGGGUAAUUAAAAGGGUUCAUUUUCCUGACAUAUAAUACACCAAGCUACUCACAAGCGCAAGCCAGGAAGUUAUGGGAUAGACUUUGUGAAUUAGCUUAAGCUGCACACAUAAACAUCUUAAAGGCCGAGUCUAUGUUAGUUAUAUCAGAUUUGUUUUAUUUCUUUGCUUUGUUUUCUGAUGUGUAUAUAGAUUAGGUUUUUUUUUUUAUUUUUUAUUUUUUUUAUUUUUUCAUUUUUUUUGUGCCUUGUGUAUAUAAGUCUAGGCCAUGCUUUGCCCCCGAGCUCUAUAGCAGAUAAAGUGUAUAAAGCUGUUAAAGGCAGCUAGAAUAGUAGAAUUAAGUAUCUUGAAUUUAAAGCAUCAGUUUUUGCAUAUGCCUUCAUCAUCAUUGAUGUCUUAAAUAUAUGUCCGCAAGUUAAUACAUUUGUUCUUUUUUGUUUGUUUAUCUCUGUAACUGAUAUAUCUGCAGGUUAAUAAUUUGGUGGUUACAAAUAUCUCUUAACAUGGGUGACAUUUAGAAUGCUCCUCUUUCACAAGAGGAAACUACUUGUAGGUCUCUUUUUAUGAACUUUAGGUAUAAUAGAAGCUAAUUGUUUAUCGUGUUUUCAUCAGUGAUUAGCUCUAUUUUUUUUAUUCUACUUUUUUUUCAGAUAAUUUGGGAUGUAGUGGGCAAGCCUGAAAUAUCUAGGGCCAAAGCUUGAGCUUGAGCUUGAACAAGAAUGCAUAGAAGUAUACACGAGCAAAGUUGAUGUGGCUAACCACUCUAGAGCUCAGCUACAACUGGCUAUUGAUGAUUCAGAUGCAGAAAUUGCAACCAUCUAUUCUGCAAUUGGAGAACUUCCAUUACAUAUCAGCUGUCACCUACAUACUGUUAGAACAAAUCUUAAUGAUCCAUGUUUCCAUUGUGAAUCUUUGUAGAUUUUUAAUGCGAUUAAGAUGUAUUCAGAUUCAUUUCUUUGAUCAAUUUCUAUUAACAUUUAUUUAUGUCAA